UGGGGAAUUUUGGACAAUGGGCGAAAGCCUGAUCCAGCAAUGCCGCGUGUGUGAAGAAGGCCUUCGGGUUGUAAAGCACUUUUGUCCGGAAAGAAAUCCUUGGCUCUAAUACAGUCGGGGGAUGACGGUACCGGAAGAAUAAGCACCGGCUAACUACGUGCCAGCAGCCGCAGUAAUACGUAGGGUGCAAGCGUUAAUCGGAAUUACUGGGCGUAAAGCGUGCGCAGGCGGUUUGCUAAGACCGAUGUGAAAUCCCCGGGCUCAACCUGGGAACUGCAUUGGUGACUGGCAGGCUAGAGUAUGGCAGAGGGGGGUAGAAUUCCACGUGUAGCAGUGAAAUGCGUAGAGAUGUGGAGGAAUACCGAUGGCGAAGGCAGCCCCCUGGGCCAAUACUGACGCUCAUGCACGAAAGCGUGGGGAGCAAAACAGGAUUAGAUACCCCUGGUAGUCCACGCCCUAAACGAUGUCAACUAGUUGUUGGGGAUUCAUUUCCUUAGUAACGUAGCUAACGCGUGAAGUUGACCGCCUGGGGAGUACGGUCGCAAGAUUAAAACUCAAAGGAAUUGACGGGGUCAUAGCUGUUUCCU
rnacentral:rRNA from 1 species